UGGGGAAUUUUGGACAAUGGGGGCAACCCUGAUCCAGCAAUGCCGCGUGUGUGAAGAAGGCCUUCGGGUUGUAAAGCACUUUUGUCCGGAAAGAAAACGCCGUGGUUAAUACCCGUGGCGGAUGACGGUACCGGAAGAAUAAGCACCGGCUAACUACGUGCCAGCAGCCGCGGUAAUACGUAGGGUGCAAGCGUUAAUCGGAAUUACUGGGCGUAAAGCGUGCGCAGGCGGUCCGCUAAGACAGAUGUGAAAUCCCCGGGCUUAACCUGGGAACUGCAUUUGUGACUGGCAGGCUAGAGUAUGGCAGAGGGGGGUAGAAUUCCACUGUAGCAGUGAAAUGCGUAGAGAUGUGGAGGAAUACCGAUGGCGAAGGCAGCCCCCUGGGCCAAUACUGACGCUCAUGCACGAAAGCGUGGGGAGCAAACAGGAUUAGAUACCCUGGUAGUCCACGCCCUAAAACGAUGUCAACUAGUUGUUGGGGAUUCAUUUCCUUAGUAACGUAGCUAACGCGUGAAGUUGACCGCCUGGGGAGUACGGUCGCAAGAUUAAAACUUAAAUGAAUUGACGGGGUCAUAGCUGUUUCCU
rnacentral:rRNA from 1 species